CUGCAGCCCGAGUGAUGAUCGAUUUUAUUGAGCCUAAAGCGUCCGUAGCCGGACUAGUAAACCCUUGGGUAAACUGGGCAGCUUAACUGUCCAAAUUCCGAGGGGACUGCUAGUCUUGGGACCGGGAGAGGUCAGAGGUACUCAAGGGGUAGGGGCUAAAUCCUGUAAUCCUUUGGGGACCACCAGUGGCGAAGGCGUCUGACUAGAACGGAUCCGACGGUAAGGGACGAAACCCUGGGGCGCGAACCGGAUUAGAUACCCGAGUAGUCC
rnacentral:rRNA from 1 species